CGGAGCGUGGCGCAGUCCGGGUAGCGCACUUGAAUGGGGUUCAAGGGGUCGCUGGUUCGAAUCCAGUCGCUCCGA
rnacentral:tRNA from 1 species